ACGGUUUGUCAAAUUUGAUUAGGUUUUCUUCACUGAUGUGAAGGAAAAGCAAAUUAACAGAAAAUGAUUUACUUUUUCAUGUGAGAGUGACUUUUUGUCUGUUCCUGGUUUUUCUGAAUUUUCCUCAUGUAUUAGGCUACAUAUCUCAAUAAAAAAACACCACUGAGACAUAUACUUACUUAUAUACUUAGAUUCUAUUCAUAGUUUAAUAAACUAUUUGAUAUAAAUAGUUAUUAACCCUUUAAUGAAAGGGAAUCAAUUAUUUAAUAUUAUAUGAAAGAAUGACAGAGUAGGUUUAAUUUAUUUGAUGUUCUAAUGUUUUGAUUAAUACACUCUGUAAAGUGCUUAGAGGAUACAUUAAUCCCACUUGACCACACCUUUCUUAGAAGCUUCCCACUGCGCUGGCCAAGAAACAUGUCAGACUAUAUGUUGCUGGGAUUUAAGUUUCUUUUCGACAGAGACCACUUUGAUUAGGUUUUUUAGGGGGGGGGGCAGCCUUACCCGGAAAUCCACAACCGACACAGCUAUGAAACCAGGAAGAAGACAGGUAAAAGCAAAAGCAAGGCUGUUGUUCAUAUAGUCUAGUUAUUUCUCUCUGCCGUAGAGACUGUUUACAUUUGCAACCUCACAGUUUCAUCGAACUUGUAUUUUCUCUUGCGCACAGGCAGCUGGGUCUCACAGGGAUUAAAGUAAAUGCGACUUGGGGCGCCACAUCCUGGGGAGGGGGGCGUCCUUAAACCUUAACGUUUUGAACGUAGCCCCCACUAUUAUGUCAAUAUGAAACCCUCAGACAGUUUGUUUACAGCCCGCUAGUUUUCUACUCCGCUCCACUUGAAACACGCUCUCUUUCACUCACUGCGCACAACAUGAAAAACGUUUUUUUCAUUUUACGUUUCAGAAAUAAACAUGGCUUUUAUUCUGGAUGUUUUUUUGUUUUUUUUCCAGAAAUGUCCAGUUUCAGUGGGAGAGAAGAGAAAGAUCCGCGUCCUCGAGUACACGUGGAAAUAACUCAGCUCUAUGAAUUCAAAUGGUCCACCACACAGUUGGGGAAAUGUCCAGUUUCAGUGGGAGAGAAGAGAAAGAUCCGCGUCCUCGAGUACACGUGGAAAUAACUCAGCUCUAUGAAUUCAAAUGGUCCACCACACAGUUGGGGUUUGGCUGAGAAAAAAUUACCUUGACCAGCCCACAAGAGGGGGAGCAGCACAAGCCAUAGCCAUGACCCAAGUGAAAGCAACUCCAGCUCCAGCAUGGGUUCCAGAGAACUUGAAGCUUCCCAUGGGUUUGCAGACAAC